rnacentral:rRNA from 1 species
AACGAACGCUGGCGGCGUGCCUAACACAUGCAAGUCGUGCGAGAAAGUUCCUUCGGGAGCGAGUAAAGCGGCGCACGGGUGAGUAACACGUAGGUAACCUGCCCCCCAGUCUGGAACAACUAGAGGAAACUCUAGCUAAUGCCGGAUGAGACCACGAUCCCUUCGGGGGCUGCGGCCAAAGAUGGCCUCUACUUGUAAGCUAUCGCUGAGGGAUGGGCCUGCGGGCCAUUAGCUUGUUGGUGAGGUAACGGCUCACCAAGGCUGUGAUGGCUAGCUGGUCUGAGAGGAUGACCAGCCACACUGGGACUGAGACACGGCCCAGACUCCUACGGGAGGCAGCAGUGGGGAAUACUGCGCAAUGGGCGAAAGCCUGAUCCAGCAAUGCCGCGUGAGUGAUGAAGGCCUUAGGGUUGUAAAGCUCUUUUACCCGGGAUGAUAAUGACAGUACCGGGAGAAUAAGCCCCGGCUAACUCCGUGCCAGCAGCCGCGGUAAUC